rnacentral:rRNA from 1 species
UACGUAGGGGGCAAGCGUUGUCCGGAAUUAUUGGGCGUAAAGAGCGUGUAGGCGGCCAGAUAAGUCCGCUGUGAAAUCUCGAGGCUCAACUUCGAGCUGUCGGUGGAAACUGUCUGGCUAGAGUCCGGAAGAGGAGAAUGGAAUUCCUGGUGUAGCGGUGAAAUGCGCAGAUAUCAGGAGGAACACCGGUGGCGAAGGCGGAUCUCUGGGCCUUACCUGACGCUCAGGUGCGAAAGCUAGGGGAGCGAACAGG